rnacentral:lncRNA from 1 species
AGGAUGCUACUUACCACACAGCACAUAUAUAUAUAUAUAUAUAUAUAUAUAUAUGCCGCACACGCGGCAUAUACAUACAUACAUAGAUACAUACAUACGAUACAUGCAUGUAUAUAUAUAAAUGUGUGUGUGCGUAUAUAUAUGUAUAUAUACACACACAUCUUCUAAGUAUAUAUAUAUGUAUGUAUCGAUGUACAUGUGCAUAUAUAUAUAUAUAUAUGUAUAUAUAUAUGUGGAGGCGCAAUGGCCCAGUGGUUAGGGCAGCGGACUCGCGGUUUCGAUGUUUAUUGAGCGAAAACACUUAAAGCUCCACGAGGCUCCGGCAGGGGGUGGUGGUGAUCCCUGCUGUACUCUUUCGGCGCAACUUUAUCUCACUCUUUCUUCUGUUGGCCUGCUCACUUAGCCAGCGGGGUGGCGUCCUUUUAAAGCUAAGACAAUGCAAAGCGCAUUGUGACCAGCGAUGUGUAGCAACAUCUGAUAGCCUGGUCGGUCACGGUGAUCACGGUGAUAUAUAUAUAUAUAUAUAUAUAUAUAUAUAUAUAUAUAUAUAUCUUAUGACAUCUGAUAGCCUGGUUGGUCACGGUGAUCAUGGUGAUAUAUAUAUAUAUAUAUCUUAUAACAUCUGAUAGCCUGGUUAUAUAUAUAUAUAUAUAUCUUAUAACAUCUGAUAGCCUGGUUGGUCACGGUGAUCACGGUGAUAUAUAUAUUAUAACAUCUGAUACACCACUGGAUUGGGAGAAAGCGCUAAUAAUCCGAAUGAUAUGAUGAAUGAUAUGAUAGAUAUAUAUAAAAAUGUAAUAUAUAAAUAAAUAUCUAUAAAUAUGAACCAUCCGAUCUGAUUACCUAUUUUUUUCUAAUAUAUAUGCAUGCAUGUGUAUGUAUAUAUAUAUAUAUAUAUAUAUUAAAUAUCUAUAUAUGUAUACACACACACACUUGUGAUAUAUAUACACACACACACACACACACACACACAUGUAUAUAUAUAUAUAUAUAUAUAUAUAUAUAUUAUAUAUCUAUAUAUGUAUACACACACACAUCUUCUAAGUAUAUAUACAUAUAUAAAAAAUAUAUUUGCUUGUAUAUGUAUGUAUGCAUGUAUGUAUGUAGUGUAUAUAUAUAUAUAUAUAUAUAUAUAUAUAUAUAUAUAUAUAUAUAUAUAUACAUGUAUCUGUCUAUGUCUCUGUUUGUGUGGGCGCGUGCGUUUAUAACUGCAUGUUUCAAUUUUCAGCGUCUGAUUGCUAUAUACUCCAGCCAUGAUGGAAACGGAAGAACUGCAGCUUGCAUUGAUAGUAUACUGCGAAGGAUGUUGUUAGUUACAGACACAGCAUGCUGUUCUAUUUUCUUCUAAACUCCUGCUUCCCUCUUCAGUAUUGAUUUUAUUUUUACUACGAUUCCUUUCUCUCAUACAAAUAAUAUUCUGUACUCACUCAACGCCGCAGUAUUUUAGCUGGUCGCUUACUUGCUACUAUAACAGUGUACCUCGUACAGUUAACAAGUUUGUUAGUGUAUUUUGCAUUGUAGUAAUUGGUCACACAAUCAGUUCUGCUGUAAUAACAAUAUUGAUGAGAGAUAUGAUAGAAUAUUAUUUAAAAUGCAUACAUGUAUGUGUGUGCAUGUGCGUGUGUGUAUUUAAGUGUGGUGGCGCAUGGCUUAGUGGUUAGGGCGUUUCACUACUGAUUGUAAGAUUGUGGUUUCGAUUGCUGGACCGAGUGAUGCGUUGUGUUUUUGAGCAAAACACUUUACUUCACGUUGCUCCAGUCCACUCAGCUGGCAAAAGUGAAAAAUCUUGCGAUAGUCUGGCGUCCCGUCCAGGAGGAGAUACAUACGCUACAGAAUCCAGGACACCGGCCCUUAUGAGUGUAGGGGUCAGAAAGGACCUUUGAUUCUAUUUCUUCUCUUGAUUUUUAAUGUAUAUAAACACGUAUGUAUGCAUGCCAAGCUGUAGAAUAGAAUAUACACUCCACUGAAACAAAUCACUCUUCACAUAUUAUAUAUGUAUAUGUAUGUAUAUAUGUGUAUGUGGAGGUGCAAUGGCCCAGUGGUUAGGGCAGCGGACUCGCGGUCGUAGGAUCGCAGUUUCGAAUCCCAGACCGGGUGUUGUGAGUGUUUAUUGUGUGAAAGCACCUAAAAGCUCCACGAGGCUCCGGCAGGGGUUGGUGGCGAACCCUGUUGUACUCUUUCACCACAACUUUCUCUCACUCUUUCUUCCUGUUUCUGUUGUACCUGCAUUUUAAAGGGGCCAGCCUUGUCACACUCUGUGUCAUACUGAAUCUCCCCGAGAUCUACAUUAAGGGUACACGUGUCUGUGGAGUGCUCAGCCACUUGCACGUUAAUUUCACGAGCAGGCUGUUCCGUUGAAUGCAUACAAGCAUAAGUGUUUUUUGUAUGCAAGUGUUUAUAAAUGUGUGCACGACUGAUUGCAUGUUUGUAAGACAAAAUUAAUGCUGAAAUGCAAGUUAAGGCAAAAUGAAAUACUGCAUUUGGAAAAGUGGUUCAUAAAAGCCUUCAUGAAGAAGAUAAAUAUAAUUUCGUUCAGAGACUUUUAAUGGUUUGAAUUAUUUCUAUGAAGAUAUUUACAAUGUGGAACUAUGAAAAUUUUUCAACUCUAUUAAUUGUCCGGUGCCAUUUCCGUGUGUUUACCGUUAUGUAUUUCGAAUUGUAUUCAGAUUGAGUAUUGGUCUACAGUCAACCUCUGCUGAAAACCCGGGUUAAAUUUUUAUUUUUUUUCGUGUGCAGUCGCAUCAGAAACGCAUGUGCGUCGGGCCAUGGAAGCAUAAUGCUCGGCUUAGGCCUUUUGAUGAGUAUAACAAAGUUUCCGCUUUAUUGUGCUCAAUAGAUUUAAACACCCCCCUCUUUCUUUCUCUCUCUCUCUCUCGCAUUUACACGCGUUUAUAUGUAUAUACGUAUGUGUGUGUGUGUGUGUUGGCAUAUCUAUAGUGUUUCCCUGUCAUUAAUUACCUUCUCUCUAUAUAUAUGUGUGUGUGUGUAUGUGUGUGGAGGCACAAUGGCCCAGGGGUUAGGGCAGCGGACUCGCGGUUUCGAUGUUUAUUGAGCGAAAACACCUAAAGUUCCACGAGCAUCCGGCAGGGGGUGGUGGUGAUUCCUGCUGUACUCUUUCGCCGCAACUUUCUCUCUCACUCUUUCUUCUGUUGGCCUGCUCACUUAGCCAGCGGGGUGGCGUCAUUUUAAGGCUAAGACAAUGAGGGUUCCGGUUGAUCCGAAUCAACGGAACAGCCUGCUCGUGAAAUUAACGUGUAAGUGGCUGAGCACUCCACAGACACGUGGACCCUUAACGUAGUUCUCGGGGAUAUUUAGCGUGACACAGAGAGUGACAAGGCCGGUCCUUUGAAAUACAGGUACAACAGAAACAGGAAGUAAGAGUGAGAGAAAGUUGUGGUGAAAGAGUACAGUAGGGAUCACCACCACCCCCUGCCGGAGCCUCGUGGAGCUUUUAGGUGUUUUCGCUCAAUAAACACUCACAACGCCCGGUCUUGGAAUCGAAACCGCGAUCCUAUGACCGUGAGUACGCUGACCUAACCACUGGGCCAUUGCGCCUCCACGCUUCUUCCAAUCAACUUAAAACGUCAAGCAAAAUCUCUGGAUAUUCACUUUCCUCUCCGCUGCAACCGUCUCCCUGUUUAUCAACACUUACCUCACCCGCCUUCUUAUCUGUUCAUCCCCUUCUCUCAGUAAUGUCACUGUAUCUGUCCCUCAAAAUCAGACGACCUUCCAUCUCCCCACCGCCGACGAAGCGUUCUAUUCUAAAUAUGUCUUCCUCAUCCCAUAAAAAACUAAAUUCCGCCGUUUAUUUCAUAUUACUUUUUACCGACAUAGAACAUCUCUGUUUUCUCCCGAUUUUAUUGUUUUACUGAAUAUCCUUACUAUUUCUUGGCAGAAAACAAUUGUCUUGUUCCGCCGAUGAGUUCAAUCAGAUAGAAACUGUGCAGUGAAGUAGGUAAUAUUUGAGACAUUACAAAUACAAUAAACUUCUGUAUACGGUGUCUUGAAUUUAUAUUCUUUGCUUUAGACAUUUUUUUAAUAGAUGAGGAAAAUUUUUUUUUAUGGCUGGAGGCACCAUUCGUUUUGAUAAAACAUGAAUAGAAAGUGUUUAACACGAUUCGUUAACUCACAUACAAACGUGACUACAAGUAUACGUAUGUGUGAAUGCAUGGCUGUAUGUAUGUGUGCGCGCGUGAAUGUAUGUAACUGCACACACACACAUUAUUAUUAUUAUUAUUAUUAUUAUUAUUAUUAUUAUUAUGGUUAUUAUUAUUAUUAUUAUUAUUAUUAUUAUUAUCGUUAUUAUUAUUAUUAUUAUUAUUAUUAUUAUUAUUAUUAUUAUUAUUAUUAUUAUUAUUAUUAUUAUUAUUAUUAAGAGGAAAUAAAUAAAAGGUAUUGUGACUUUGAAGUUUUUCGGGAGCAGCUUGUCAGAGAGUUUUUAAGUUUUCGUAUAUUCAUACACUCUCAGUAAAUAUGUAUGUACAUACAUAUACAUGCACACAUACACAAACACCCAUACACACACACACAACACACACAAUAAACACUCACAAGCACACAUACACACGCAACCGGAUUCGUCAUAAAUCAUUGGAUUUUAACACCUUCAACAUAGGGCCAGGAAUAGCAAAAGCUGUGGCUUAUCAGAUAUAAUGGUUGACAAAAUUUUAUUUCAUAUCUCAUUGUUUCGCGUUCAAAUUCCACUAGGAUGUCUUUGCUUCUAUUUCAUCCGCGUUUAUGAAAUAAAUCCCAGUCAUAUACAAGGAUCGAUUCCAUAGAUUUCCGUUUAUACUAACGUAUCAAAGCUUCCUUUUUCUUUAUAGCAAAGAAACGAGCGAUGAAGGGCUUCUGACCUAUCGAGUUCGUUUCGCAGUUUCGUUACUUGAUUUAAACCCACUUCAUAUAUUCUUCUAAUGCAUGACCUAAUUCAAAUUAUGACCACGCCAUGUUUCCUCCUCCAAUCAAUAGCUCAGCGGACAAAAUAAGAAGCAGUAUUUCUU